UGCAAGUCGAGCGAGCGGAACCAACAGAUUUACUUCGGUAAUGACGUUGGGAAAGCGAGCGGCGGAUGGGUGAGUAACACGUGGGGAACCUGCCCCUAAGUCUGGGAUACCAUUUGGAAACAGGUGCUAAUACCGGAUAAUAAAGCAGAUCGCAUGAUCAGCUUUUGAAAGGCGGCGUAAGCUGUCGCUAAGGGAUGGCCCCGCGGUGCAUUAGCUAGUUGGUAAGGUAACGGCUUACCAAGGCGACGAUGCAUAGCCGAGUUGAGAGACUGAUCGGCCACAUUGGGACUGAGACACGGCCCAAACUCCUACGGGAGGCAGCAGUAGGGAAUCUUCCACAAUGGACGCAAGUCUGAUGGAGCAACACCGCGUGAGUGAAGAAGGGUUUCGGCUCGUAAAACUCUGUUGUUGAAGAAGAACGUGCAUGAGAGUAACUGUUCAUGCANUGACGGNAUUCAACCAGAAAGUCACGGCUAACUAC
rnacentral:rRNA from 1 species